rnacentral:rRNA from 1 species
UUUCCGUAGGUGAACCUGCGGAAGGAUCAUUAUUGAAAUAAACUGAUGGGUUGCUGCUGGUUCUUUAAUGAACAUGUGCACACCCGUCAUCUUUAUAUCUCCACCUGUGCACCUCUUGUAGACCUGGAAAAGUUUCUUAAUGCUAUGCUAGCAUUAAGGUUUUGGGAUUGAUUUUUUCUCUCCUUAUAUUUUCGGGUCUAUGUUUAUUCAUAUACUCUAAUGUAUGUUAUAGAAUGUAAUAAGUGGGCCUUUGUGCUAUAACACUAUACAACUUUCAGCAACGGAUCUCUUGGCUCUCGCAUCGAUGAAGAACGCAGCGAAAUGCGAUAAGUAAUGUGAAUUGCAGAAUUCAGUGAAUCAUCGAAUCUUUGAACGCACCUUGCGCUCCUUGGUAUUCCGAGGAGCAUGCCUGUUUGAGUGUCAUUAAUAUAUCAACCUCUUCAGCUUUUGCUUGUUGAGUGUUGGAUGUGGGGGUCCUUUUUGCUGGUCUUUUCAAGAGGUCAGCUCCCCUAAAAUGUAUUAGCGGAACAAUUUGUUGACCGUUCAUUGGUGUGAUAAUUAUCUACGCUAUUGACGUGAGGCAGUUCAGCUUCUAACAGUCCAUUGACUUGGACAGCUUUUUAUUAAUGUGACCUCAAAUCAGGUAGGACUACCCGCUGAACUUAA